rnacentral:rRNA from 1 species
UACGGGGGGAGCAAGCGUUGUUCGGAAUUACUGGGCGUAAAGCGCGCGCAGGCGGUCCUUCAAGUCAGAGGUGAAAGCCCAGAGCUCAACUCUGGAACGGCCUUUGAGACUAGAGGACUUGGGUACGGGAGAGGUGAGUGGAAUUCCGAGUGUAGAGGUGAAAUUCGUAGAUAUUCGGAAGAACACCAGUGGCGAAGGCGGCUCACUGGCCCGUUACCGACGCUCAGGCGCGACAGCGUGGGGAGCAAACAGG